CAAGGUAUAGUGCAGUCUGGUCAGCACAUCUGUUUUGGUUAUAGAGAGCCAUAGAUUCGAAUCCUGCCACCUUGA